rnacentral:rRNA from 1 species
GAUGAACGCUGGCGGCGUGCCUAAUACAUGCAAGUCGAGCGAACAGACGCGGAGCUUGCUCCUCUGACGUUAGCGGCGGACGGGUGAGUAACACGUGGAUAACCUACCUAUAAGACUGGGAUAACUUCGGGAAACCGGAUCUAAUACCGGAUAAUAUAUUGAACCGCAUGGUUCAAUAGUGAAAGACGGUUUUGCUGUCACUUAUAGAUGGAUCCGCGCCGCAUUAGAUAGUUGGUAAGGUAACGGCUUACCAAGGCAACGAGGCGUAGACGACCGGAGUGGGUGGUCGGCCACCUUGGAACUGAGCCACGGUCCAGACGACUACGGGAGGCCGCAGUAGGGAAUCUUCCGCAGUGGGCGAAAGCAUGACAGAGCAACGGCGCGUGAGUGAUGAAGGUCUUCGGAUCGUAAAACUCUGUUAUUAGGGAAGAACAAAUGUGUAAGUAACUAUGCACGUAUUGACGGUAACGAAUAAGAAAGCAACGGCUAACUACGUG